UACGAAGGGGGCUAGCGUUGUUCGGAAUUACUGGGCGUAAAGCGCACGUAGGCGGUUUUGUAAGUUAGAGGUGAAAGCCUGGGGCUCAACUCCAGAAUAGCCUUUAAGACUGCAUCACUUGAACACGGGAGAGGUGAGUGGAAUUCCGAGUGUAGAGGUGAAAUUCGUAGAUAUUCGGAAGAACACCAGUGGCGAAGGCGGCUCACUGGACCGUUGUUGACGCUGAGGUGCGAAAGCGUGGGGAGCAAACAGG
rnacentral:rRNA from 1 species